AGUGAACGCUGGCGGUAGGCCUAACACAUGCAAGUCGAACGGCAGCACAGUAAGAGCUUGCUCUUACGGGUGGCGAGUGGCGGACGGGUGAGGAAUACAUCGGAAUCUACUUUUUCGUGGGGGAUAACGUAGGGAAACUUACGCUAAUACCGCAUACGACCUACGGGUGAAAGCAGGGGAUUUUCGGACCUUGCGCGAUUGAAUGAGCCGAUGUCGGAUUAGCUAGUUGGCGGGGUAAAGGCCCACCAAGGCGACGAUCCGUAGCUGGUCUGAGAGGGUGAUCAGCCACACUGGAACUGAGACACGGUCCAGACUCCUACGGGAGGCAGCAGUGGGGAAUAUUGGACAAUGGGCGCAAGCCUGAUCCAGCCAUACCGCGUGGGUGAAGAAGGCCUUCGGGUUGUAAAGCCCUUUUGUUGGGAAAGAAAAGCAGCAGGUUAAUACCCCGCUGUUCUGACGGUACCCAAAGAAUAAGCACCGGCUAACUUCGUG
rnacentral:rRNA from 1 species